ACAUGCCUACAACAUAGCGUUAAUGCAUUGGAUCCCAUUAGAACUCCACAGUUAAGCGCGCUCAGUCUAGAAUAGUACUGGGAUAGGUGUCUGCUCCGGAAGUACUUGUAUUUUACAUGCC
rnacentral:rRNA from 1 species